UACAGAGGUCCCAAGCGUUGUUCGGAUUCACUGGGCGUAAAGAGCUCGUAGGCGGCUUGUCGCGUCGUCUGUGAAAUCCCACGGCUCAACUGUGGGCUUGCAGUCGAUACGGGCAGGCUGGAGUUCGGUAGGGGAGACUGGAAUUCCUGGUGUAGCGGUGAAAUGCGCAGAUAUCAGGAGGAACACCGGUGGCGAAGGCGGGUCUCUGGGCCGAUACUGACGCUGAGGAGCGAAAGCGUGGGGAGCGAACAGG
rnacentral:rRNA from 1 species